UGUGGGAGCUGGCUUGCCUGCGAUAGCAUCACCGCGGUGUGCCUGAUACACCACGGUGCUGCUAUCGCAGGCAAGCCAGCUCCCACA
rnacentral:misc_RNA from 1 species